rnacentral:snRNA from 1 species
CUUUUGGCAAAACAUAUAUUAAAAUUGGAACUAUACAGAGAUGAGCAUGGCCACUGCACAAGGAUGACACACAAAUUCAUGAACCGUUCCAUAUUUUU